AGAGAUGUGUGAUGACGCAUAUCAAUAAGCGGAGGAAAAGAAACUAACAAGGAUUCCCUUAGUAACGGCGAGUGACGCGGGAAGAGCUCAAAUUUGAAAUCUUCAAGGGUUUACCUUGACGAAUUGUAGUUUAAAGAAGUGUUUUCUGUUAGAGAGGUUGGUAAAAGUUCUUUGGAAUAGGACAUCAUAGAGGGUGAGAAUCCCGUAUUUGAUCCAUUAUUUUCGGCUGUGUGAUACACUUUCAAAGAGUCGGAUUGUUUGGGAAUGCAGUCCAAAAUGGGUGGUAAAUUUCAUCUAAAGCUAAAUAUUGGCGAGAGACCGAUAGCGAACAAGUACCGUGAGGGAAAGAUGAAAAGAACUUUGAAAAGAGAGUUAAACAGUACGUGAAAUUGUCAAAAGGGAAGCGUUUGACACCAGUGUUGUUUUCUCGAAAAUCAAUUAAAAAGAGUUGGACUUUGUGUUGUAUUGACCUUAACAGCUUUCUUCACUCUUUUCCUGCUUUUUUUAAUGCACUUUUCGUUUAACAAGUCAACAUCAGUUUCUUUUGUUGUAAAAGGGUCAUUGGAAGGUGGCUUUCUUUUCGGAGAAAGUGUUUAUAGCCUCUGAUCUCUGCAAUCGGAGAGACUGAGGUCUGCAGCGUAGAUCCUUCGGGGUUAGAUACAUUUGUGCUAAGUUAUAACCUUUCAUAGACAACUUGUUGACUAUGUUUAGUCAUGUAGCUUACUCGCUUAUGCUAUUUUACCUACGCUUAGGAUGUUGACAGCAGUAUAGACUGU
rnacentral:rRNA from 1 species